AUUGUAUUGAACCUCAUAGGUGUCACCCCUAUACAAGGAAGAAAAGUGAAGAAAAGGCUGCUAGACAGCUGCAUAGAUAAUGCUACAGUCCCAGCCUUUAACAACAGUAGCAACUGAGAGUCAACCCUCCACCAGAA